GGGGAGCGGGAGAUGAGGAGGGACGGGGCUGGAGCGGCUGGGGUGCGGGCCCGGGAGGCGGCACGGGGCGUCGGGCAAGGGGACGGGGCCCAUACACGGGGAUAGAGAUCCCAGACAAGGGGACGGGACCCCAUACAGGCAGUUAGGGUCCCAUACAAGGGGUUAAGGGUCCCAUACAAGGGGACUGGGUUCCAUACAGGGGGUUAGGGUCCUGGACGAGGGGAUGGGACCCCAUAGAAGGGGACAGGGUCCUGGACAAGGGGACGGGGCCCUUGCAAGGGGUUAGGGUCCCAGACAAGGGGACAGGACCCCAUACAGGUAGUUAGGGCCCCAUACAAGGGGACGGGUCCCAUACAAGGGGUUAGGGGUCCCAUACAAGGGGACGGGUCCCAUACAAGGGGUUAGGGGUCCCAUACAAGGGGAUGGGACCCCAUACAAGGGGAUGGGGUCCUGGACAAGGGGACGGGGUCCUGGACAAGGAGACAGGACCUUUACAAGAGGUUAGGGUC